rnacentral:rRNA from 1 species
GGGUUGUGAGGUUAAGCGACUAAGCGUACACGGUGGAUGCCCUGGCAGUCAGAGGCGAUGAAGGACGUGCUAAUCUGCGAAAAGCGUCGGUAAGGUGAUAUGAACCGUUAUAGCCGGCGAUGUCCGAAUGGGGAAACCCAGUGCAAUUCGUUGCACUAUCGUUAACUGAAUACAUAGGUUAACGAGGCGAACCGGGGGAACUGAAACAUCUAAGUACCCCGAGGAAAAGAAAUCAACCGAGAUUCCCCCAGUAGCGGCGAGCGAACGGGGAGCAGCCCAGAGUCUGAAUCAGCUUGUGUGUUAGUGGAACGGUCUGGAAAGUCCGACGGUACAGGGUGAUAGUCCCGUACACCAAAAUGCACAGGCUGUGAACUCGAAGAGUAGGGCGGGACACGUGGUAUCCUGUCUGAAUAUGGGGGGACCAUCCUCCAAGGCUAAAUACUCCUGACUGACCGAUAGUGAACCAGUACCGUGAGGGAAAGGCGAAAAGAACCCCGGCGAGGGGAGUGAAAAAGAACCUGAAACCGUGUACGUACAAGCAGUGGGAGCACCUUCGGGUGUGACUGCGUACCUUUUGUAUAAUGGGUCAGCGACUUAUAUUCUGUAGCAAGGUUAACCGUAUAGGGGAGCCGCAGGGAAACCGAGUCUUAACUGGGCGUUAAGUUGCAGGGUAUAGACCCGAAACCCGGUGAUCUAGCCAUGGGCAGGUUGAAGGUUGGGUAACACUAACUGGAGGACCGAACCGACUAAUGUUGAAAAAUUAGCGGAUGACUUGUGGCUGGGGGUGAAAGGCCAAUCAAACCGGGAGAUAGCUGGUUCUCCCCGAAAGCUAUUUAGGUAGCGCCUCGUGAAUUCAUCUUCGGGGGUAGAGCACUGUUUCGGCUAGGGGGUCAUCCCGACUUACCAACCCGAUGCAAACUACGAAUACCGAAGAAUGUUAUCACGGGAGACACACGGCGGGUGCUAACGUCCGUCGUGAAGAGGGAAACAACCCAGACCGCCAGCUAAGGUCCCAAAGUCAUGGUUAAGUGGGAAACGAUGUGGGAAGGCACAGACAGCCAGGAUGUUGGCUUAGAAGCAGCCAUCAUUUAAAGAAAGCGUAAUAGCUCACUGGUCGAGUCGGCCUGCGCGGAAGAUGUAACGGGGCUAAACCAUGCACCGAAGCUGCGGCAGCGACACUAUGUGUUGUUGGGUAGGGGAGCGUUCUGUAAGCCUGCGAAGGUGACCUGUGAGGGUUGCUGGAGGUAUCAGAAGUGCGAAUGCUGACAUAAGUAACGAUAAAGCGGGUGAAAAGCCCGCUCGCCGGAAGACCAAGGGUUCCUGUCCAACGUUAAUCGGGGCAGGGUGAGUCGACCCCUAAGGCGAGGCCGAAAGGCGUAGUCGAUGGGAAACAGGUUAAUAUUCCUGUACUUGGUGUUACUGCGAAGGGGGGACGGAGAAGGCUAUGUUAGCCGGGCGACGGUUGUCCCGGUUUAAGCAUGUAGGCUGGUUAUCCAGGCAAAUCCGGAUAAUCAAGGCUGAGGUGUGAUGACGAGGCACUACGGUGCUGAAGUAACAAAUGCCCUGCUUCCAGGAAAAGCCUCUAAGCAUCAGGUAACAUCAAAUCGUACCCCAAACCGACACAGGUGGUCAGGUAGAGAAUACCAAGGCGCUUGAGAGAACUCGGGUGAAGGAACUAGGCAAAAUGGUGCCGUAACUUCGGGAGAAGGCACGCUGGUGUGUAGGUGAAGCCCCUGCGGGUGGAGCUGAGACCAGUCGAAGAUACCAGCUGGCUGCAACUGUUUAUUAAAAACACAGCACUGUGCAAACACGAAAGUGGACGUAUACGGUGUGACGCCUGCCCGGUGCCGGAAGGUUAAUUGAUGGGGUUAUCCGUAAGGAGAAGCUCUUGAUCGAAGCCCCGGUAAACGGCGGCCGUAACUAUAACGGUCCUAAGGUAGCGAAAUUCCUUGUCGGGUAAGUUCCGACCUGCACGAAUGGCGUAAUGAUGGCCAGGCUGUCUCCACCCGAGACUCAGUGAAAUUGAACUCGCUGUGAAGAUGCAGUGUACCCGCGGCAAGACGGAAAGACCCCGUGAACCUUUACUAUAGCUUGACACUGAACAUUGAGCCUUGAUGUGUAGGAUAGGUGGGAGGCUUUGAAGCGUGGACGCCAGUCUGCGUGGAGCCAACCUUGAAAUACCACCCUUUAAUGUUUGAUGUUCUAACGUUGGCCCCUUACCGGGGUUGCGGACAGUGUCUGGUGGGUAGUUUGACUGGGGCGGUCUCCUCCCAAAGCGUAACGGAGGAGCACGAAGGUUAGCUAAUCCUGGUCGGACAUCAGGAGGUUAGUGCAAUGGCAUAAGCUAGCUUGACUGCGAGCGUGACGGCGCGAGCAGGUGCGAAAGCAGGUCAUAGUGAUCCGGUGGUUCUGAAUGGAAGGGCCAUCGCUCAACGGAUAAAAGGUACUCCGGGGAUAACAGGCUGAUACCGCCCAAGAGUUCAUAUCGACGGCGGUGUUUGGCACCUCGAUGUCGGCUCAUCACAUCCUGGGGCUGAAGUAGGUCCCAAGGGUAUGGCUGUUCGCCAUUUAAAGUGGUACGCGAGCUGGGUUUAGAACGUCGUGAGACAGUUCGGUCCCUAUCUGCCGUGGGCGCUGGAGAAUUGAGGGGGGCUGCUCCUAGUACGAGAGGACCGGAGUGGACGCAUCACUGGUGUUCGGGUUGUCAUGCCAAUGGCACUGCCCGGUAGCUAAAUGCGGAAGAGAUAAGUGCUGAAAGCAUCUAAGCACGAAACUUGCCCCGAGAUGAGUUCUCCCUGAGACUUUAAGUCUCCUGAAGGAACGUUGAAGACGACGACGUUGAUAGGCCGGGUGUGUAAGCGCAGCGAUGCGUUGAGCUAACCGGUACUAAUGAACCGUGAGGCUUAACCUUACAACGCCGAAG